AUAUCCAGUACUAUGGAGUGGUAAGGUAUAGUGUCCUAUACAGUGAUCAGGGAAUACACCUGUACUGUAGAGGGUAUCUGAGUUCACUGAAUAGAAAGUGCUGAGCCAGGGUCACUGAGGCGUAACCAAAUCAUGCAAUACAGGUAAGUGCUACCUGUGUGUGCGGCCAUAUCAACCCCAGACCUGGAUAUGGAAGGUUCACUGAUGUCAGAGGCUGUGUGCCAGGAGGGAAAUGCAUAAGCUGCGUGCUUGGUAAUGAGAUGUUACCAGGGCUGUGUGCCCAAAGUUAUCAUCCAAGUUAGAGAUAGUUGAAGCCACUACAUGUAAGCUGUGUGCUAGUUUGGGCAAAACUUUGCUACUUGGAGAAGCUGUGUGCUAUGUCCACCUCAAUGGAGUGUGGGAGUCCUGGAAUGAAAGAGGAGAGUGAGCUGUGUGUUCAGACGUGCUAAAGAGAGACGCCAAAAGUGACCUUGGGACAGGGAGCCUGUAAUAUCUAUGUGCCAGACCCAUAGUAGGAGCAGCAGAAUCCCUGUAUAUUGAUGUGAGACCAGAAGGGAAAUAUUUGUGCUGGACUAGUACAGUACCUAAGGAGGGUAUAUAUUAUCUAUUCCUAUAUUGAUAGUGAUUAAGUAAACGACAUCGGAGUGAAAGGAACUUUGGGAACCAACCACAGUGAUGAACUGUACAUAUAUUUGGUGUCCGGAGAGACAAUGGGUUUCAGAGACGGGUUUUGUUUUUGUGUUGCACAUUAUUAAUUCCUAUGAUUUUGUAAAUAUGUUCAUGUGAAUACAUAUGUUACUUUGA